UACGUAGGGUGCAAGCGUUAAUCGGAAUUACUGGGCGUAAAGCGUGCGCAGGCGGUUAUGUAAGACAGGUGUGAAAUCCCCGGGCUUAACCUGGGAACUGCAUUUGUGACUGCAUAGCUAGAGUACGGUAGAGGGGGAUGGAAUUCCGCGUGUAGUGGUGAAAUGCGUAGAGAUGCGGAAGAACACCAGUGGCGAAGGCGGUCAACUGGCCUCAGAUUGACACUCAGACGCGAAGGCAUGGGUAGCGAACGGG
rnacentral:rRNA from 1 species